UACGUAGGGUGCGAGCGUUGCCCGGAUUUAUUGGGCGUAAAGGGCGCGUAGGCGGUGAGAUGCGUCCGUUGUGAAAUCGCUCGGCUCAACUGGGCGGGGUCAGCGGAUACGGUCUCACUUGAGCAAGCUAGGGGGCAAUGGAAUUCCCGGUGUAGUGGUGGAAUGCGUAGAUAUCGGGAGGAACACCAGUGGCGAAGGCGGUUGCCUGGGGCUUUGCUGACGCUGAUGCGCGAAAGCGUGGGGAGCGAGUCCGG
rnacentral:rRNA from 1 species